CGCCCAGACUCCUACGGGAGGCAGCAGUCGGGAAUAUUGCGCAAUGGAGGAAACUCUGACGCAGUGACGCCGCGUAUAGGAAGAAGGUUUUCGGAUUGUAAACUAUUGUCGUUAGGGAAGAUAAAAGACUGUACCUAAGGAGGAAGCCCCGGCUAACUAUGUGCCAGCAGCCGCGGUAAUACGUAGGGAGCGAGCGUUAUCCGGAAUUAUUGGGCGUAAAGGGUGCGUAGAUGGCAUAGUAAGUCUUUUGUAAAAAUGCUGGGCUCAACCCAGUAGGGCAAAAGAUACUGCAAAGCUAGAGUAUGACAGAGGCAAGUGGAACUACAUGUGUAGCGGUAAAAUGCGUAAAUAUAUGUAAGAACACCAGUGGCGAAGGCGGCUUGCUGGGUCGAUACCGACAUUGAGGCACGAAAGCGUGGGGAGCAAACAGGAUUAGAUACCCGAGUAA
rnacentral:rRNA from 1 species